AAGACUGUACUCUCAGGGAUCACUUCUGUAGUUCGUUGCUAGAGAAGUUUCCUGACUGUGUAGAGCACCCAAGACCAUGAGGACUAGACACAGCAUUCUCUCCUGAGAAUGAGCCGGCUCUAGAUGCUGCUUUUCUGUAGCUACAUCUUGUCAUUGAUAGUUGUUCUUCUCUUCCUUUGGAAGCGAGAGAGGGAAGGUAAUGCAAUCUGAAU
ensembl:snoRNA U3 Small nucleolar RNA U3